GAUUAACGCUGGCGGCGUGCCUAACACAUGCAAGUCGAGCGGCAGCGAGUUUUACACUGAAUUCUGGAAGCUUCUGGUUGAAAGAGAAGAUACUAUUCAAGAAUUUUGUGUAAAAUGUCGGCGAGCGGCGGACGGCUGAGUAACGCGUGGGAACGUACCCCAAAGUGAGGGAUAACGCAUCGAAAGGUGUGCUAAUACCGCAUAUGGUCUUCGGAUUAAAGCCUUCGGGCGCUUUGGGAACGGCCUGCGUAAGAUUAGAUAGUUGGUGGGGUAAUGGCCUACCAAGUCAACGAUCUUUAACUGGUUUGAGAGGAUGAUCAGUCAGACUGGAACUGAGACACGGUCCAGACUCCUACGGGAGGCAGCAGUGAGGAAUCUUCCACAAUGGGCGAAAGCCUGAUGGAGCAACGCCGCGUGCAGGAUGAAGGCCUUCGGGUUGUAAACUGCUUUUAUAAGUGAGGAAUAUGACAGUAACUUAUGAAUAAGGAUCGGCUAACUACGUGCCAGCAGCCGCGGUCAUACGUAGGAUCCGAGCGUUAUCCGGAGUGACUGGGCGUAAAGAGUUGCGUAGGUGGUUUAUAAGCGAAUAGUGAAAUCUGGUGGCUCAACCAUUCAGACUAUUAUUCGAACUGUUGAACUCGAGAGCAGAAGAGGUAGCUGGAAUUUCUAGUGUAGGAGUGAAAUCCGUAGAUAUUAGAAGGAACACCGAUGGCGUAGGCAGGCUACUGGGCUGUUUCUGACACUGAGGCACGAAAGCGUGGGGAGCGAACCGGAUUAGAUACCCGGGUAGUCCACGCCGUAAACGAUGGAUACUAGCUGUUUGGGGUAUCGACCCCCUGAGUAGCGAAGCUAACGCGUUAAGUAUCCCGCCUGCGGAGUACGAUCGCAAGAUUAAAACAUAAAGGAAUUGACGGGGACCCGCACAAGCGGUGGAUCAUGUUCUUUAAUUCGAUGAUAACCGAUAAACCUUACCAGGUCUUGACAUCCUUGGAAUCUUUCAGAAAUGAGAGAGUGCUUUUUAAGAGCCAAGUGACAGGUGAUGCAUGGCCGUCGUCAGCUCGUGUCGUGAGAUGUUUGGUUAAGUCCAUCAACGAGCGCAACCCUUGUCAGUAGUUGUAUUUUUCUACUGAGACUGCCCCGGUAACGGGGAGGAAGGAGGGGACGACGUCAGGUCAGUAUUUCCCUUACGUCCUGGGCUAGAAACGUGAUACAAUGGCUAGUACAAUGCGCAGCGAAGCCGCGAGGUGAAGCAAAUCGCAUCAAAGCUAGUCCCAGUUCGGAUUGUAGGCUGAAACUCGCCUGCAUGAAGUCGGAAUCGCUAGUAAUCGCAGAUCAGCGUGCUGCGGUGAAUACGUUCCCGGGUCU
rnacentral:rRNA from 1 species